AUCACUUGCAAUAUUGGCAGCACACACGCAACGAGUAAUUAAUUCUACAGCAGUGUUCGGGGGCUAAGUAGAUGUGCACCCAGACAAAGACGUAAAAACAGUACAGGUAAACAGAGUGCAGAACAAUCAGCAUACAAUGCAAACAGAGUGCAGAACAGAGUGCAGAACAAUCAGCAUACAAUGCAAACAGUCUCAGAACUCGUAAUAUGCCAACAGACGGUACGAAGCUUAGUUCGACACAAGUAUAAGUCAUCAUCUUACAUGAGACACCAUUCCCAACCAGCGAGCAGAACGUGUCCUUCAGUUCAGCACGUUGAUAAAGAAACGGUAGGAUACAAUCGAGUAGGGAUUAUUGAGUAGAAAGCCUUCAG
rnacentral:lncRNA from 1 species